rnacentral:rRNA from 1 species
GACGAACGCUGGCGGCGUGCUUAACACAUGCAAGUCGAGCGGUAAGGCCCUUCGGGGUACGACGAGCGGCGAACGGGUGAGUAACACGUGGGUGGACCUGCCUCUAGCUCUGGGAUAAGCCUGGGAAACUAGGGUCGUAAUACCGGAUAUGACUCCACGGCGCAUGUUGUGGGGUGGAAAGCCUUGUGUGGCUAGAGAUGGGCCCGCGGCC